rnacentral:rRNA from 1 species
GAUGAACGCUGGCGGCGUGCCUAAUACAUGCAAGUCGAGCGAACGGACGAGAAGCUUGCUUCUCUGAUGUUAGCGGCGGACGGGUGAGUAACACGUGGAUAACCUACCUAUAAGACUGGGAUAACUUCGGGAAACCGGAGCUAAUACCGGAUAAUAUUUUGAACCGCAUGGUUCAAAAGUGAAAGACGGUCUUGCUGUCACUUAUAGAUGGAUCCGCGCUGCAUUAGCUAGUUGGUAAGGUAACGGCUUACCAAGGCAACGAUGCAUAGCCGACCUGAGAGGGUGAUCGGCCACACUGGAACUGAGACACGGUCCAGACUCCUACGGGAGGCAGCAGUAGGGAAUCUUCCGCAAUGGGCGAAAGCCUGACGGAGCAACGCCGCGUGAGUGAUGAAGGUCUUCGGAUCGUAAAACUCUGUUAUUAGGGAAGAACAUAUGUGUAAGUAACUGUGCACAUCUUGACGGUACCUAAUCAGAAAGCCACGGCUAACUACGUGCCAGCAGCCGCGGUAAUACGUAGGUGGCAAGCGUUAUCCGGAAUUAUUGGGCGUAAAGCGCGCGUAGGCGGUUUUUUAAGUCUGAUGUGAAAGCCCACGGCUCAACCGUGGAGGGUCAUUGGAAACUGGAAAACUUGAGUGCAGAAGAGGAAAGUGGAAUUCCAUGUGUAGCGGUGAAAUGCGCAGAGAUAUGGAGGAACACCAGUGGCGAAGGCGACUUUCUGGUCUGUAACUGACGCUGAUGUGCGAAAGCGUGGGGAUCAAACAGGAUUAGAUACCCUGGUAGUCCACGCCGUAAACGAUGAGUGCUAAGUGUUAGGGGGUUUCCGCCCCUUAGUGCUGCAGCUAACGCAUUAAGCACUCCGCCUGGGGAGUACGACCGCAAGGUUGAAACUCAAAGGAAUUGACGGGGACCCGCACAAGCGGUGGAGCAUGUGGUUUAAUUCGAAGCAACGCGAAGAACCUUACCAAAUCUUGACAUCCUUUGACAACUCUAGAGAUAGAGCUUUCCCCUUCGGGGGACAAAGUGACAGGUGGUGCAUGGUUGUCGUCAGCUCGUGUCGUGAGAUGUUGGGUUAAGUCCCGCAACGAGCGCAACCCUUAAGCUUAGUUGCCAUCAUUAAGUUGGGCACUCUAAGUUGACUGCCGGUGACAAACCGGAGGAAGGUGGGGAUGACGUCAAAUCAUCAUGCCCCUUAUGAUUUGGGCUACACACGUGCUACAAUGGACAAUACAAAGGGCAGCGAAACCGCGAGGUCAAGCAAAUCCCAUAAAGUUGUUCUCAGUUCGGAUUGUAGUCUGCAGCUCGACUACAUGAAGCUGGAAUCGCUAGUAAUCGUAGAUCAGCAUGCUACGGUGAAUACGUUCCCGGGUCU